UGGGGAAUAUUGGACAAUGGGCGAAAGCCUGAUCCAGCCAUGCCGCGUGUGUGAAGAAGGUCUUCGGAUUGUAAAGCACUUUAAGUUGGGAGGAAGUGCAUUAACCUAAUACGUUAGUGUUUUGACGUUACCGACAGAAUAAGCACCGGCUAACUCUGUGCCAGCAGCCGCGGUAAUACAGAGGGUGCAAGCGUUAAUCGGAAUUACUGGGCGUAAAGCGCGCGUAGGUGGUUUGUUAAGUUGGAUGUGAAAGCCCCGGGCUCAACCUGGGAACUGCAUCCAAAACUGGCAAGCUAGAGUACGGUAGAGGGUGGUGGAAUUUCCUGUGUAGCGGUGAAAUGCGUAGAUAUAGGAAGGAACACCAGUGGCGAAGGCGACCACCUGGACUGAUACUGACACUGAGGUGCGAAAGCGUGGGGAGCAAACA
rnacentral:rRNA from 1 species